rnacentral:rRNA from 1 species
UGGGGAAUAUUGCACAAUGGGCGAAAGCCUGAUGCAGCGACGCCGCGUGAGGGAUGACGGCCUUCGGGUUGUAAACCUCUUUCAGCAGGGACGAAGCGCAAGUGACGGUACCUGCAGAAGAAGCACCGGCUAACUACGUGCCAGCAGCCGCGGUAAUACGUAGGAUGCAAGCGUUGUCCGGAAUUACUGGGCGUAAAGAGUUCGUAGGCGGUUUGUCGCGUCGUUUGUGAAAACCAGCAGCUCAACUGCUGGCUUGCAGGCGAUACGGGCAGACUUGAGUACUGCAGGGGAGACUGGAAUUCCUGGUGUAGCGGUGAAAUGCGCAGAUAUCAGGAGGAACACCGGUGGCGAAGGCGGGUCUCUGGGCAGUAACUGACGCUGAGGAACGAAAGCGUGGGUAGCGAACAGG